GAAACUUUUUGAUUAAUUAUGCUAAGUUGUAUAGAUGCACAGUGGAAUUUAAACUUAGCAACAGUUUGAUUUAUUGAAUGAGACUUGAUUAAGUAAAUUAAAUAUGCUUGCAACUAAAGGAUGCACGGAUAAGAGUUAAGCAAGCAAUUUAUCUAAGUAAGUAGGUGAGCAAGUUAGACAAUGACAAAAAGCAUCACAAACACAACAAACAUAUAGUGGUUCGGUGCACCCCAGCACCUACAUCCACUCCCCAAGACCUCUUGGGAAUUUCACUAUAAUCCUCCAGAUUACAGUC
rnacentral:lncRNA from 1 species